rnacentral:rRNA from 1 species
GACGAACGCUGGCGGCGUGCCUAAUACAUGCAAGUCGAACGCAUUUUCUUUCACCGUAGCUUGCUACACCGAAAGAAAAUGAGUGGCGAACGGGUGAGUAACACGUGGGUAACCUGCCCAUCAGCGGGGGAUAACACUUGGAAACAGGUGCUAAUACCGCAUAAUUCCAUUUACCGCAUGGUAGAUGGAUGAAAGGCGCUUUUGCGUCACUGAUGGAUGGACCCGCGGUGCAUUAGCUAGUUGGUGGGGUAACGGCCUACCAAGGCUGCGAUGCAUAGCCGACAUGAGAGGGUGAGCGGCCACACUGGGACUGAGGCACGGCCCAGACUCCUACGGGAGGCAGCAGUAGGGAAUCUUCGGCAAUGGACGCAAGUCUGACCGAGCAACGCCGCGUGAGUGAAGAAGGUUGUCGGAUCGUAAAACUCGGUUGUUAGAGAAGAACAAGGAUGAGAGUGGAAAGUUCAUCCCUUGACGGUAUCUAACCAGAAAGCCACGGCUAACUACGUG